rnacentral:rRNA from 1 species
UGAACGCUGGCGGUAGGCCUAACACAUGCAAGUCGCACGGCAGCACAGUAAGAGCUUGCUCUUACGGGUGGCGAGUGGCGGACGGGUGAGGAAUACAUCGGAAUCUACUUUUUCGUGGGGGAUAACGUAGGGAAGCUUACGCUAAUACCGCAUACGACCUACGGGUGAAAGCAGGGGAUCUUCGGACCUUGCGCGAUUGAAUGAGCCGAUGUCGGAUUAGCUAGUUGGCGGGGUAAAGGCCCACCAAGGCGACGAUCCGUAGCUGGUCUGAGAGGAUGAUCAGCCACACUGGAACUGAGACACGGUCCAGACUCCUACGGGAGGCAGCAGUGGGGAAUAUUGGACAAUGGGCGCAAGCCUGAUCCAGCUAUACCGCGUGGGUGAAGAAGGCCUUCGGGUUGUAAAGCCCUUUUGUUGGGAAAGAAAAGCAGCAGGUUAAUACCCCGCUGUUCUGACGGUACCCAAAGAAUAAGCACCGGCUAACUUCGUG